CAGCCGCCGCGGUAAUACCGGCGGCCCGAGUGGCGGUCACUAUUAUUGGGCUUAAAGCGUCCGUAGCCGGGUUGGGAAGUCCUCCGGGAAAUCUGGCCGCUUAACGGUCAGAAUGCCGGAGGAUACUCCCAGCCUAGGGAGCGGGAGAGGCCGAGGGGAUUCCCGGAGUAGGGGGGAAAUCCUAUAAUCCCGGGAGGACCACCUGUGGCGAAGGCGCUCGGCUGGAACGCGUCCGACGGUGAGGGACGAAGGCCAGGGGAGCAAACCGGAUUAGAUACCCGGGUAGUCCUGGCUGUAAACGAUGCGGACUUUGUGUCGGACAAGCUAUGAGCUUGUCCGGUGCCGGAGGGAAACCGUUAAGUCCGCCGCCUGGGGAGUACGGCCGCAAGGCUGAAACUUAAAGGAAUUGGCGGG
rnacentral:rRNA from 1 species